GUUUAUUGGAAGUGAGGUGUGUUGGAGAGAUCCAUCUCAGCCGCGCUCGAUUAACACUGCCUGCUUUACUGUUCAGCGUUACUGCGGCUGCCUGCCAGAGAGCUCAGUAACGCGGCUGCCGGGUUCAUACGCGGCGUUACCGGGACUCACUAACGGGGCGGGGGGCAAAUCAGCCCGGAGACGCAGGUCGGGACCGCGUCGGCACUUCAGCAUGGCAUCGGGGGAGCUUUACGAGGUAGAACGGAUCGUGGACAAGCGGAAGAACAAAAAGGGCAAGUGGGAAUAUCUAAUCCGGUGGAAAGGCUACGGGAGCAAAGAGGACACAUGGGAACCUGAGCACCACCUGCUGCACUGUGAGGAGUUCAUCGAUCAGUUCAACAGCCUCCGUCUGCAGGACCGCCGCUCCAAACCAGCCAAAACCAGAACCAGCACACAAGCGCACAGGGUCCGGGACAUGUCCAGACAUCAGGGAGAAGCUCGGAAAAAGAAAAGGACUAGCAGAGGAUCGCCGGGACCGGGUGUCCCGCAUAGACAGAGAAAAAUGAGUGGAGGGAAAGCGUCCGGGGACAGAACCAGCAAACCGGGGACUUAUAAGCGAGUGAACGCAGGGCUUCAAUUUGUUCCUCCUAUCAGGCGUCCUACAGACGGGCUACAGAACGGAGACACGGACGCCGUGCAUUACAGGACUACCGGCAGGACACAGAGCGUCCCCGGCAGCAGGGUGGAGAAGAUGAUGGGAGAGAUGGAGAUGAGCAGAGGGGCCGCACCGCUCCGGGACGAAUUAGGGUCGUCGCUCCUGAACGGAGACGCUCACUUACAAAGUUCGGCCAAACGGAAGCUGGCUGAGGACAAAGGCUACAUUUUCGACAAGAGGCUGAGGUACAACGUUCGGCAGAGCGAAGCCAAUUACAGAUUCAGGGACAUUGUAGUGAGGAAGGAAGAAGGUUUCACACACGUCCUGCUGUCCAGCCAGACAUCAGACAACAAUGCACUAACACCAGAGAUCAUGAAGGAGGUGUGUCGAGCUCUGGGCACGGCGGCGGUAGACGACAGUAAGCUGCUGUUACUCAGCGCAGUGGGCAGCAUCUUCUGCAGCGGCCUGGACGCCUCGUACCUGAUUGGCCGACUCUCCACCGACCGCAGGAAAGAGAGCAGCAGAAUCGCUGAGGCUGUGAGGGAUUUUGUAAAAGCCUUCAUCCACUUUAAGAAGCCCAUCGUGGUGGCUGUUAAUGGUCCUGCUCUGGGUUUGGGUGCCACCAUCCUUCCACUCUGUGACAUUGUCUGGGCCAGCGAGCGGGCCUGGUUCCAAACCCCAUGUGCUGCACUGCGCCUUACGCCAUCCGGCUGCUCCUCGUACACUUUCCCUCAGAUCCUGGGCGUGGCUCUGCUUCUUGUUCCCAGGCCAAUGAGAUGCUGUUCUGUGGGAGGAAGCUGACGGCGCAGGAGGCGUGUAGCCGAGGUUUGGUCUCACAAGUGUUCUGGCCGACCACCUUUAACCAGGAAGUCCUGCUGCGGGUGAAGGAGAUGGCGACCUGCAGUGCUGUGGUUCUGGAGGAGUCUAAGUGGAUGGUGCGCAGCAUCCUGAAGUCCAUGUUGGAGGAGGUGAAUGAGAAGGAGUGCCAGAUGCUCAAACAGUUGUGGUGCUCCACGAAGGGCCUGGAGGCUUUGUUCUCCUUCUUACAGAGUAAAGGUUACAGCGCCUGAACACGCUCAGCAUGACCGCAUCACCACCGCACCCACCUAGAGCCCACGAUGAUGUCAUGUACUGUGAAUGAAAUGAAUAUAAGCCAAGAAAUUAUUAUUAUUAUUAUUAUUAUUAUUAUUAUUAUUAUUAUUAUUAUUAUUAUAUUCCCGACUGUAUCAGAAGGGUUCUGUGAUUUUUCCGAGGAUGCUUCCAGACCAGCAUUCGACACACUGAGUAUUCUGUCACCUAACGAAAUGCCUUUAAAAUUGUCCUUCUUUGUCCUUUAUU